GGCGCUGUGGCGGAGUGGUUAACGCGAGAGAUUCGAAAUCUCUUCCUCUACGAGGGCGCAGGUUCGAAUCCUGCCGGCGUCG
rnacentral:tRNA from 1 species